rnacentral:rRNA from 1 species
GUGCCUAACACAUGCAAGCUCGAACGGGGUUAACACGCUGACGAGNACUUCGGUCAAAAUCUUGUGUUAACUUAGUGGCGAACGGGUGAGUAACGCGUGGGCAACCUGCCCCGUACCGGGGGAUAGCGGCUGGAAACGGCCGGUAAUACCGCAUAAGCGCACGGUGUGGCAUCACACAGUGUGAAAAACUCCGGUGGUACGGGAUGGGCCCGCGUCUGAUUAGCCAGUUGGUGAGGUAACGGCUCACCAAAGCGACGAUCAGUAGCCGGGCUGAGAGGCCGGACGGCCACAUUGGGACUGAGACACGGCCCAGACUCCUACGGGAGGCAGCAGUGGGGGAUAUUGCACAAUGGAGGAAACUCUGAUGCAGCGACGCCGCGUGAGUGAAGAAGUAUUUCGAUAUGUAAAGCUCUAUCAGCAGGGAAGAAAGCCCUCGUAAGAGGGGAUGACGGUACCUGACUAAGAAGCCCCGGCUAACUACGUGCCAGCAGCCGCGGUAAUACGUAGGGGGCAAGCGUUAUCCGGAUUUACUGGGUGUAAAGGGAGCGCAGACGGUCAUACAAGUCUGAAGUGAAACCCCACGGCUCAACUGUGGGCUUGCUUUGGAAACUGCGUGACUUGAGUGCCGGAGGGGUAAGCGGAAUUCCCGGUGUAGCGGUGAAAUGCGUAAAUAUCGGGAAGAACACCGGCGGCGAAGGCGGCUUACUGGACGGCACUGACNUUAGGCUCGAGGCGUGGGAGCAACAGGAUANAUACCUGGUAGUCACGCGUAACAUGAUACUAGUGUGGGAGCAAGCUUUCAUGCGGACUACUGUAGUUUCNCUGGGAUNCUUCCCAGAUAACUAAGAUGCGGACCCCANCGUGACUNGUUAUNNGCACCNAACUCNGCUGAUCGUAUGGAAUCCACUNG